CUAGAGAAGAGGGAAUUGAACCCCCAUUAAAAAGUCCAAAACCUUUCGUAUUUCCAACUAUACUACUCACUA
rnacentral:tRNA from 1 species